rnacentral:rRNA from 1 species
CAGCAGCCGCGGUAAUACCGGCGGCCCGAGUGGCGGCCACUAUUAUUGGGCUUAAAGCGUCCGUAGCCGGGUUGGUUAGUCUCCCGGGAAAUCUGGCCGCUUAACGGUCAGAAUUCCGGGAGAUACUGCCAGCCUAGGGACCGGGAGAGGCCGAGGGUAUUCCCGGAGUAGGGGUGAAAUCCUAUAAUCCCGGGAGGACCACCUGUGGCGAAGGCGCUCGGCUGGAACGGGUCCGACGGUGAGGGACGAAGGCCAGGGGAGCAAACCGGAUUAGAUACCCGGGUAGUCCUGGCUGUAAACGAUGCGGACUUUGUGUCGGACAAGCUAUGAGCUUGUCCGGUGCCGGAGGGAAACCGUUAAGUCCGCCGCCUGGGGAGUACGGCCGCAAGGCUGAAACUUAAAGGAAUUGGCGGG